CACGUAGGGCGCGAGCGUUGUCCGGAAUUAUUGGGCGUAAAGAGCUCGUAGGCGGCCUGUUGCGUCCGCUGUGAAAGCCCGGGGCUUAACCCCGGGUCGGCAGUGGAUACGGGCAGGCUAGAGGUAGGUAGGGGAGAAUGGAAUUCCCGGUGUAGCGGUGAAAUGCGCAGAUAUCGGGGAGGAACACCGGUGGCGAAGGCGGGUCUCUGGGCCGAUACUGACGCUGAGGAGCGAAAGCGUGGGGAGCGAACAGG
rnacentral:rRNA from 1 species